AUUGAACGCUGGCGGCAGGCUUAACACAUGCAAGUCGAGCGGAGCGAGGGUGCUUGCACCUUAGCUUAGCGGCGGACGGGUGAGUAAUGCUUAGGAAUCUGCCUAUUAGUGGGGGACAACAUUCCGAAAGGGAUGCUAAUACCGCAUACGCCCUACGGGGGAAAGCAGGGGAUCUUCGGACCUUGCGCUAAUAGAUGAGCCUAAGUCGGAUUAGCUAGUUGGUGGGGUAAAGGCCUACCAAGGCGACGAUCUGUAGCGGGUCUGAGAGGAUGAUCCGCCACGCUGGGACUGAGACACGGCCCAGACUCCUACGGGAGGCAGCAGUGGGGAAUAUUGGACAAUGGGCGGAAGCCUGAUCCAGCCAUGCCGCGUGUGUGAAGAAGGCCUUUUGGUUGUAAAGCACUUUAAGCGAGGAGGAGGCUACGAGUAUUAAUACUACUGGAUAGUGGACGUUACUCGCAGAAUAAGCACCGGCUAACUCUGUGCCAGCAGCCGCAGUAAUAC
rnacentral:rRNA from 1 species